AACGCGGCGGCAUGCCUUACACUUGCAAGUCGAACGGCAGCACGGGUGCUUGCACUGGUGGCGAGUGGCGAACGGUGAGUAAUACAUCGGAACAUGUCCNGUAGUGGGGGAUAGCCCGGCGAAAGCCGGAUUAAUACCGCAUACGAUCUANGGAUGAAAGCGGGGGACUUCGGGCCUCGCGCUAUAGGGUUGGCCGAUGGCUGAUAGCUAGUUGGUGGGGUAAAGGCCUACCAAGGCGACGAUCAGUAGCUGGUCUGAGAGGACGACCAGCCACACUGGGACUGAGACACGGCCCAGACUCCUACGGGAGGCAGCAGUGGGGAAUUUUGGACAAUGGGCGAAAGCCUGAUCCAGCAAUGCCGCGUGUGUGAAGAAGGCCUUCGGGUUGUAAAGCACUUUUGUCCGGAAAGAAAUCCUUGGCUCUAAUACAGUCGGGGGAUGACGGUACCGGAAGAAUAAGCACCGGCUAACUACGUGCCAGCAGCCGCGGUAAUACGUAGGGUGCAAGCGUUAAUCGGAAUUACUGGGCGUAAAGCGUGCGCAGGCGGUUUGCUAAGACCGAUGUGAAAUCCCCGGGCUCAACCUGGGAACUGCAUUGGUGACUGGCAGGCUAGAGUAUGGCAGAGGGGGGUAGAAUUCCACGUGUAGCAGUGAAAUGCGUAGAGAUGUGGAGGAAUACCGAUGGCGAAGGCAGCCCCCUGGGCCAAUACUGACGCUCAUGCACGAAAGCGUGGGGAGCAAACAGGAUUAGAUACCCUGGUAGUCCACGCCCUAAACGAUGUCAACUAGUUGUUGGGGAUUCAUUUCCUUAGUAACGUAGCUAACGCGUGAAGUUGACCGCCUGGGGAGUACGGUCGCAAGAUUAAAACUCAAAGGAAUUGACGGGGACCCGCACAAGCGGUGGAUGAUGUGGAUUAAUUCGAUGCAACGCGAAAAACCUUACCUACCCUUGACAUGGUCGGAAUCCUGAAGAGAUUCGGGAGUGCUCGAAAGAGAACCGGC
rnacentral:rRNA from 1 species